AGCGAACGCUGGCGGCAGGCCCAACACAUGCAAGUCGAACGCCCAGCAAUGGGAGCGGCAGACGGUUGAGUAACGCGUGAGGAGGUGCCCAAUGGUACGGAAUAACCCAGGGAAAGCUGAACUAAUACAGGAUGUUCCCUUCGUGGCAAAGUUUUAACGACAUUGUAUCAACCCGCGUCGGAUUUGAUAGUUGGUGAGGUAAAGGGUCACCAAGGCGACGAUCCGUAGGUGGUCUGAGAGGAUGAUCAGCCACACUGGGACUGAGACACGGACCAGACUCCUACGGGAGGCAGCAGUGGGGAAUAUUGGACAAUGGGCGCAAGACUGAUCCAGCUAUGCCGCGUGUGUGAUGAAGGCGUUAGGGUUGUAAAGCACUUUCGCCGGUGAAGAUAAUGACGGUAAUCGGAGAAGAAGACCCGGCUAACUUCGUGCCAGCAGCCGCCGCAG
rnacentral:rRNA from 1 species